CGGUAAUAAUUCCCUUUUUCCCUUUUAUCUAUUAACUAAAACCAUUUACAACCCUAAUAUCUUUCCUCUGCCGUAGUUUAAGUUUUGGCCCUCGUUUCUUCCAUAAGAAGAAAGAUAGUGUACCACUUACAGUGUAAUUACCCUUCUUUGUUGAGGGGCAUAAUUCUUGUACCCGGAGCAACUGAGUAUUUCACAAACAAAAGACUUAGAGAGUUUGGGAGAUGAGUUAAGGGCCACCUUAAUUCUUGAGCUCGACAGGGCAACGAAGGAGUAAGGUUAGUAUGUGCCCUACUGUGACGAGAGAUGGCUAGCCAGAGGAGAGCCCAUGGGAUUUUAUAGCUCAGCAAGCCCUGCAGGCUCAGGCUUAACCGAACAGUAAAGCUAUAAAUAAGUAGAUGGGGUGAGUUGGAGCAUAGUCCUAACCCUGGUGGUGUACAUAUGGAUAUUUUGACCGCGUGGAAGGGUCUAACCCUAUACUUUUGAUUCCUCUAUGUGCUCUUAGUAGUCAAGUGUAAUAAUAGACACUUAUGUGUAUAUGUUUGGAUGUAACUAAUAGUAGGAACUCUAUUUAAAGGUA